AUGAGCACCACCCCCUAUAUUUGGCAGACCCCUGCCAUAAAUGUCAGGAAGAUGGUUUUGUUGAUUCCAUAUUCAUUGACCAGAUAUUUUAUCUGCAAUGCCCUCCAUAAGGGGCUACACUGCAUGUCCCAAAAUCCAUAAUUAACAUGCUGCCUGAGAGUUCUGAAUCCUAAAGGCUCAGGACACAGAUUGGAGAAGGAUCUUCUCAUCCAUCCAUGGCAGUCCAAGACCCAAGGCUACCUACAGCUCCAGGAGCACCUUCAAACCAGCCUUGCUGAAAAUCAAAGGUGGGUUUCCUUGCUGUUUUAAGGCAGGAAACACCCACAAACUGCAGUAUGUGUUCGUAAAUUUAUGUUUAAAUUCAAAUUUAAGAAAAUGAAACGUAGGAAUGCCCCCAAAUCCUCCUGCAAUACCUGUUUUGUAUAAUUGUCUUCAUCCCAGAGGAUACUUAGAGAACAAAAGGGCAAUGCAUAUUCCCCCAAUUUUUCACCUUCAGUACCCUGUAGGAUAGAAAGGGCUGAGGAAGAAGGACUGACCCAAAUUUAUUCAGUGAAUUUUCAGUGAGUGAAAAUAGACUUGGACUUCCCCACUCUUGAUCCAACAUCUUCUCUGCUAUACCACUAGCUGGUUCUCUCAGAAUACUCAAUGAGAAAGAGCUACUAAACACGUGGCCUUUUCUUCCUUGGCAGAUGAGGAUGAUGCAAACCGGUUGGGCGAGAAGGUGAUUCUCCGAGAGCAAGUGAAAGAGCUGUUCAAUGAAAAAUACGGGGAAGCUUUAGGCCUGAACCGGCCUGUUCUGGUACCCUACAAACUGAUCAGAGACACACCUGAUGCCAUCGAAGUGACCGGUUUGCCGGAUGAUAUCCCGUUUCGGAAUCCCAAUACUUACGACAUCCAUCGGCUAGAGAAGAUUCUGAAAGCACGUGACCGGAUCCGGAUGGCAAUUACUAGCCAGCUCCAGCCGUUUGCAGACGUAGGUCCUGAGGCCAAACCACCAGGUAAGGUGAAAAAUAAACAUAGGAGAUUU